UUUAAGAAGUGAUUGCUUUAUGAGAGCUAUGCCUCCUGAAUGGAUUAAUCCACGGAUUAAUGAGUACUCACAGAAGGGGAACUGGUGGCUUUAUAAGCAGAGAAAGAAAGACCUGAGCCAGCAUAUUAGCAAGCUCAACUCCCUUGCCAUGCAAAUAUCUGCACUGACUCAGGGCUCUGCUGAGAGCCUCACCAACAACAAGACCCUCCCCAGAUGCGACCCCUGGACCAUGGUCUUCUCAAACAUGCGGUCUCUGGACCUUGGACUUAGCCCCCAUAACUGUAAGAAAUAAAAUCUUUUUCUUUAUAAAUUACCCAGUUUCAAGUAUUCUGUUAUAAGCAACAGAAAACAGACUAAUACAAUGCAUAUUUUGUGUGUGUAGCAGUAAAAUGUAUAGUUCACAGUAGAAUAAACAGUGCAUUGGUCAACCCUGGCUUCUGGAAAACUUCAGGGCUGCUACAAGUGUAUUUCUGUGUGAUUUCAUUUCUGUCAUUUUAGAAACCAGCCCCAGUGAAAGCUAUGUUGUUCAAGACCCCAGCCUGGAACUGCCCUCUGGGUUUUUAUAGUUUUUAAAGUAAUGCAAUUGGUUGACCCACCAAACCAGUUCCUUUUGAAGGUCUGAGUACCAUACAUUUCAGAGGACUAAUCUUGGCUAUUAGACCUGCUUUGCCUAGACAACAGCUACUGGGAAUUUAUGCCUAUCCCACUGUUGGGCAGCCUGGCAGAACAGGCAAGGAUUUACUUUUACACCAGUAUGAAACUCAGUUAUCUUGCCUCCUGUAUGGACAAAUGCUAAGAUAUAAUUUAUAUCCCAGAGCUUCCCUCCAUGGUCAGGCCGAAGCUGGACUUGGCCUGAACUUGCACCCUUGCCUGGAGCUAUCACAUUCUUUACCAGUUUAUCUGAAAGCAUUUCUAUAGUAAACCGCUUGCACACUAAUCCUGGUCUCAUGAUCUGCUGCUGCAGAACUUAAGAUGGAUGAUAAAGAAGGCCAGUAGUCAUAGCCGUAUAAAUCCCAACAGAUUAAGUGAAUUUUCCAAAAUCAUGGCACCAGUGGAUGGUGGGUCAGAAAGUUGAGUCCUGAUCUUCUCUUUUAAAUGCAGAGUAUUGUAAAGCAAACAAACUAUAGCUUACAUAUCAUAUGAUCACAUCUGGAAUAUAAUUUCAUAUCUUCAAAGUGUCUUCAGAAUCAAUGUUUUCAUCGAAAAUUACAGGUAAGGUCAGAGGUGAUGAUGAUUUGAGCUGAUAUGUGCUAUUAGGGGAAAAAUAAAGAAGAAAAAAUCUAAGGGAGAUUACGAGCACAGAGUAUUGUAAUAAAUAGGGACAUAAAGCUAAGCCUUUUGCAGAGGUGAGAUUUGAGCAAAUGUUUGAAGGAGGAGAGGUGUUAGGUUAUAUCAGGGCAAAGAGUGUCUCAAAGAGGGAAAAGCGAGUGAAAAAUUUCAAUGCCUGAUGUGAUGUAAGACUGGCAAGGUGUCUAGUGCGGCUGUAGCAGAAUUAGUGAUGAGGAAAGAAGGUCAGAAAGAGAAGGUCAUCUCAGAUCAUGUAGGACAUAUCCAACCACUGCUAAAAUAAAUUUUUACUGAUUCUUGACAUGCAUGUGCAUAAUACAUUUUCCACUGCAUAUUCCUAAGCCUGAAAUGUGUGAGAGAUUGUAAAAUAGAAUUCAGUGUGAGACACAGAUGAAAGAACAAGAACAACUGCUUCACUGAAAAUUGAGUAACAUUAGCCUGAUAGUUAACUUCUGACUUUUGCUCUCUGUGACACAACUCCACCAUGGAGACUCAAAAUAAUGGACUUGAUGGGUAAUCAUGGUUCCUAAGAAAUUCCAAACUACACUGGAGUAGCACAGAGCUCCAAAACAAACCAAUCCUGAAAUGGCAAGGAAAGGAUUUGUUUCAAGUAAUCUAUUACUUUUCCUUUUCCUCACUGUGGCUUUUUUUUUCCUUCUUUCACUGUGGCUUUUGCCAUUUAAAGUUCUACUCUUAGC
rnacentral:lncRNA from 1 species